GCUUACGGUCACACUACCCUGAGAACGCCCGAUCUCGUCUGAUCUCGGAAGCUAAGCAGGGUUUGGCCUGGUUAGUACUUGGAUGGGAGACCACCUGGGAAUACCAGGUCAGGUGCUGUAAGCU